GACGAACGCUGGCGGCGUGCCUAACACAUGCAAGUCGAACGGAACUUAUCGAAUGAAGUUUUCGGAUGGAUUUUGGUAAGUUUAGUGGCGGACGGGUGAGUAACGCGUGAGUAACCUGCCUUCAAGAGGGGAAUAACGUUCUGAAAAGAACGCUAAUACCGCAUAACAUACGGAUGUCGCAUGGCAACCGUAUCAAAAGAUUUUAUCGCUUGAAGAUGGACUCGCGUCCGAUUAGCUAGUUGGCAGGGUGAUAGCCUACCAAGGCGACGAUCGGUAGCCGACCUGAGAGGGUGAUCGGCCACAUUGGAACUGAGAUACGGUCCAA
rnacentral:rRNA from 1 species